rnacentral:tRNA from 1 species
GUCCAACUGGCUCAGUCGGGUAAGCGCCCGCUUCUCAAGCAGGUGAUGCGGGUUCGAAUCUCGGCGCUGACA